rnacentral:rRNA from 1 species
GACGAACGCUGGCGGCGUGCUUAACACAUGCAAGUCGAACGGAAAGGCCUGCUUUCCCUUGUGGAUUGCGGGUACUCGAGUGGCGAACGGGUGAGUAACACGUGAGUGAUCUGCCCCCAACUUGGGUAUAAGCCUGGGAAACUGGGUCUAAUUCCCGAUAGGACUGCAGGGUGGUUCCUGUGGUGGAAAACGAUUUUCUAGUGGUUGGGGAUGAGCUCGCGGCCUAUCAGCUUGUUGGUGGGGUAAUGGCCUACCAAGGCGGCGACGGGUAGCCGGCCUGAGAGGGUGGACGGCCACAUUGGGACUGAGAUACGGCCCAGACGCCUACGGGAGGCAGCAGUGGGGAAUAUUGCACAAUGGGCGGAAGCCUGAUGCAGCGACGCCGCGUGGGGGAUGACGGCCUUCGGGUUGUAAACUCCUUUCGACCGCGAGGAAGCCACCUGGUUGGAAGGGUGGUGACGGUAGUGGUAGAAGAAGCACCGGCUAACUACGUG